rnacentral:rRNA from 1 species
ACUACGGGGGGCAGCAGUGGGGAAUAUUGCACAAUGGGCGCAAGCCUGAUGCAGCCAUGCCGCGUGUGUGAAGAAGGCCUUCGGGUUGUAAAGCACUUUCAGCGGGGAGGAAGGCGGUGAGGUUAAUAACCUCAUCGAUUGACGUUACCCGCAGAAGAAGCACCGGCUAACUCCGUGCCAGCAGCCGCGGUAAUACGGAGGGUGCAAGCGUUAAUCGGAAUUACUGGGCGUAAAGCGCACGCAGGCGGUCUGUCAAGUCGGAUGUGAAAUCCCCGGGCUCAACCUGGGAACUGCAUUCGAACUGGCAGGCUAGAGUCUUGUAGAGGGGGGUAGAAUUCCAGGCGUAGCGGUGAAAUGCGUAGAGAUCUGGAGGAAUACCGGUGGCGAAGGCGGCCCCCUGGACAAAGACUGACGCUCAGGUGCGAAAGCGUGGGGAGCAAACAGGAUUAGAUACCCGGGUAGUC